UCGAAGUGUGGACGCCAGUCUGCAUGGAGCCAACCUUGAAAUACCACCCUUUAAUGUUUGAUGUUCUAACGUUGCCCCAUUAUCUGGGGUGCGGACAGUGUCUGGUGGGUAGUUUGACUGGGGCGGUCUCCUCCCAAAGAGUAACGGAGGAGCACGAAGGUUGGCUAAGCAUGGUCGGACAUCAUGCGGUUAGUGCAAAGGCAUAAGCCAGCUUGACUGCGAGAGUGACGGCUCGAGCAGGUACGAAAGUAGGUCUUAGUGAUCCGGUGGUUCUGAAUGGAAGGGCCAUCGCUCAACGGAUAAAAGGUACUCCGGGGAUAACAGGCUGAUACCGCCCAAGAGUUCAUAUCGACGGCGGUGUUUGGCACCUCGAUGUCGGCUCAUCACAUCCUGGGGCUGAAGUAGGUCCCAAGGGUACGGCUGUUCGCCGUUUAAAGUGGUACGCGAGCUGGGUUUAGAACGUCGUGAGACAGUUCGGUCCCUAUCUGCCGUGGGCGUUGGAAGAUUGAAAGGGGCUGCUCCUAGUACGAGAGGACCGGAGUGGACGCACCACUGGUGUUCGGGUUGUCAUGCCAAUGGCAUUGCCCGGUAGCUAAGUGCGGAAGAGAUAACCGCUGAAAGCAUCUAAGCGGGAAACUUGCC
rnacentral:rRNA from 1 species